rnacentral:rRNA from 1 species
GACGAACGCUGGCGGCGUGCUUAACACAUGCAAGUCGAACGGAAAGGCCCUGCUUUUGUGGGGUGCGCGAGUGGCGAACGGGUGAGUAACACGUGAGUAACCUGCCCUUGACUUUGGGAUAACUUCAGGAAACUGGGGCUAAUACCGGAUAGGAGCUCCUGCUGCAUGGUGGGGGUUGGAAAGUUUCGGCGGUUGGGGAUGGACUCGCGGCUUAUCAGCUUGUUGGUGGGGUAGUGGCUUACCAAGGCUUUGACGGGUAGCCGGCCUGAGAGGGUGACCGGCCACAUUGGGACUGAGAUACGGCCCAGACUCCUACGGGAGGCAGCAGUGGGGAAUAUUGCACAAUGGGCGGAAGCCUGAUGCAGCAACGCCGCGUGCGGGAUGACGGCCUGCGUGUUGUAAACCGCUUUCGCCUGUGACGAAGCGUGAGUGACGGUAAUGGGUAAAGAAGCACCGGCUAACUACGUG